AAUGCGGGUAUGAGCAGCCAGGAUAUUGAUAGGGGCAGUCAAGAAAAGAAUUCUACUGAAAUAAGGAUGAUGAAUUCCCAUGGACAGCUAGCAAAUUAUCUGAUGUGGGAAGCAGGUUCAGGAUUUCUGAACGAUGGAUGAUCCUGAUUGACAUUUCAUGUGACAGUUCUCAAUCUCUUCGUGAUUGGGAAAGUGGCACUUAUAACCACCAUCUACUGGUUGGAGUGCAGUGAUGCAAUCAUGGCUCACUUCAGCCUCUACCUCCUGGGAUCAAGCAAUCCUCCCACCUCAGCCUCUGGAGUCACCGGGACUACAGAUACAAACUUUUGAGACCCACCCUUCGUAAGAAAAAAAAUGCAGAAGAAAGACAAAUUGGAUUUCAUUUCAAGAAAAUUGAAAAUAAAAUUCUUCAUACUGGUGUCUUAGUUCAUUUGUGUUACUAUAACAAAAUACCUGAGGCGCCUAAUUUAUAAACAAUAGAAAUUCAUUUUUCACAGUUCUGGAGCCUAGGAAGAUUAAGGCACUGCAAGUAUGCUGUCUGGUGAGAGCCUGUUCCUCAUAGAUGGUACUGUCUAGGUGUUCUCAUAUGGUGGAAGAGACGGAAAGAGAAAAAGAGAUGAACACUGUGUUCUCACAUAGCAGAAGAGUGAGACAGAAUGAACCCACUCCCUCAAGUUCUUUUAUAAGGGCCCCAAUCUCAUCCCUGAGGGCUCUACCCUUAUGACUUCACAGCAUCUAAAUACCCCACCUCUUAUCAUAUUGGCGAUUAAGUUUCAAUGCAUGAAUUUUGGGGAAAACAUUCAGACCAUAACACCUGGUAUUAAAUUAUCCAUAGAAGAAAUACAUGAAGGAAGGACUAACUCCUCUUAGUGUAUACAAACAUGUUGACAGAGAUGCUUUCCUUAAGAAAUAUCAUGUAAUUUGAAGGUAAGAUGAUUUUUUUCUUUUUCUUUUCUUUUCUUUUUUUUUUUUUUUUUUUUUUUUGAGACGGAGUCUCACUCUGUCACCCAGGCUAAAGUGCAGUGGCACAAUCUCGGUUCACUGCCACCUCUGCCUCCCAGGUUCAAGCGAUUCUCCUGCCUCAGCCUCCUGAGUAGCUGGGACUAUAGGCGCGUGCCCCCCAAGCCUGGCUAAUUUUUUGUAUUUUUAGUAGAGACGGGGUUUCACCGUGUUAGAUAGGAUGGUCUCCAUCUCCUGACAUUGUCAUCUGCUCGCCUUGGCCUCCCAAAGUGCCGGAAUUAUAGGCGUGAGCCACUGUGCCAGGCUGAAAAGAUGAUUUUUGAUAGCUUGAAUCCAGGUCUUCUUAGGGACUGAAUCCUCCUGCACAAUCCUGUAAGCCUACAUCCCCUCAAGUGUAUUCCUUCAAACACUUGUUCUCCAGGAUGUAAAUAAGUUUACGUGAAAAGAGUAUUCUGUGAUCAGAUCCUUAAAUGCUGACACCAGCCCGAAAAUAAUCUGUUGAUAAAGCAAAGCUAAUUUUAUUGUUUACUGUGCUAAGGGAGAUUGUUAUUUUGACAGUCUUAGUCACAUCUGAAUUCGAGAGAAAAAAGUUGCAGGUAUUAAUAAGAUGUAGGGGGUGGUCAGCGGAUCCUUCAAAGUGGGAGCUAGACUAGGACUGCAGAAGAUUCACAAUGUUAUUGUUUAGGAUUGGUGAACAUGGCAUGGAUAUGGUUUCAAAGAGAAUUUUUGAAGAGGAAACACUCUUUUCGUGCUAUAUUGUCCUGAGAAAAGGUAUUUUCUCUGAUGAAGUUAUUGGGGCUCAGAAACUGGUACCCCAGCAGCUUUGACAUACUGAACUAAAGAAGCAACCUCAAGGUCUCUUUGACCUUCCCCUACCCCUUCCUGUCUCUCAAUCCUCUGUCUCUAUCAAAGCACUUGAUGAAGCUGGUCUCUGAAGUUCCUUUAUCUGCCUGAAGUCCAGACCCACCAAAGAAGAAAACAAUUACCUCUGUUCCCUUCCUUGAAUUUGCAUUAACUUAAUUCAUAUGGCAAGAACAAAGACUAAAAGACCUGGACAGACUUUUGUCCAAACCAUUGUCUUCCUUUUUGGUCCACUCAGUAUUUCAAAGAGAAUCAUUUACCAGUCACUGUCUGUUUUGUGGGAUCAAAAUACUUUGUCCUAGGCCAUUGUAUCUUCUUCAAAUCCAUUUAUUUUCACCUAAAAAUCAUUUAUUAUGUCUCAAAUUGCCACACUCACCCCAUCUCCCUUUGCCCUAUGAAGAAGGGUAUAUAAGCAUCUGUACCCCACUGGGUCAUUGGGUAAUCAUUCUCCUGUGAUUUCCUUAUGUUAUGCACAGUAAAAUAAAUUUUAUAUGCUUUUCUCCUAUUCACCUACAUUUCUAAGUUGAUUUUCUGCAAAAUUUCAGAGGAAAAUAAAUUUUUUUCUAUGGCCCCUACAAUGGUAAAUGGAAUGUUUAGAUAAAUAGAUUUUCUGUGAGGUCCUGAAAUUAACAAUAAAGAUAUUUACAACUUUAGUUUCCUAAGUUUCUUGAAUAGUAAAAUCAUGUAAAACAAGAUAAAAAAAUAGUAAACUCUUGUUAGUGCAGAGUAUAGACAAUAAACUUAUAGUCUCUUGAACAGACACUUUGUAGCGAAACAAAAUGUGCCUUUUCUUUAGGCCUCAGCCAUCCUCAUGACAGUACCUCCCUAACACCUACCAUCUUUCUGGAUUCUUCCUUAAACUCUUACCUGAAACCUUUCUGCUUUGUAGUCCAAACUUGAAUCCCCAUAAUCAUUUCUAUUUCCAGGCCUUUUCUGUUGAAAAUCAAUCUGAUAUUUUCCCGUUCCUAGGAUUCCAAUCAGAAUGACAGGAUGCCAGCCCUAAGGAGGCAGAAACAAUAAAGGAUCCUUCCUUCUUAGAGCUGGAAGGGAGUGGAGGUUGACUUCAGUCUCUGAAUUUGUAUGUUAAUAUCUGUGUCCUCUCUAUAGGUUCAAAAGAUCUAUCUGAUGAAAGAAACAGUGAGGAAACAAUUAAUAUUAGAUGGUGGCACAGAAUUAAGUUUCAGGAUGUUUGUAGCACCAAAUAGAGGAAGGUUUUUUUUAAAAAAAAAAAAAAGUAUUUUAAGUCUUCUAUGAGUGCAAGUAGAAGGAAAGGAAGGGAAUGUUCUCUGUUGGGGGCCAAUGAUAUAUUGACUAAUGACAAGGAAAAAGCAAACCUCUCUUUGGACUGAAAAAAAGACAAGACAUGUUGAUAAGAGGAAACUGUAGCUUUAGCUGGGGAAGCAUAGUUAAACUUCUGGUCCUGAAUUAUUUCUAAAGGUCUCUAAAGAAUCUUCAAAUUAAAUCAUUAAACCAAACAU
rnacentral:lncRNA from 10 species